AGGGCACCACCAGGAGUGGAGCCUGCGGCUUAAUUUGACUCAACACGGGGAAACUUACCCGGCCUGGACACUGGAAGGAUUGACAGAUUGAGAGCUCUUUCUUGAUUCGGUGGGUGGUGGUGCAUGGCCGUUCUUAGUUGGUGGAGCGAUUUGUCUGGUUAAUUCCGAUAACGAACGAGACUCUAGCCUAUUAAAUAGGCUCCCGGCUUUUAAACGCCGGGAGGACUUCUUAGAGGGACAGGUGGCGGUUCAGCCGCACGAAAGAGAGCAAUAACAGGUCUGUGAUGCCCUUUGUUGUCCGGGGCCGCACGCGCGCUACACUGAAGAGAUCAGCGUGCUUUAUGUUCCUGCUCCGACCGGAGUGGGGAACCCAGUGAACCUUCUUCGUGAUUGGGAUAGAAUAUUGUAAUUAUUCUUCUUGAACGAGGAAUUCCCAUUAGAUGCGGGUCGUAAUCUCGCGUUUAUUACGUCCGUGCCCUGUGGGCACAGUGCCCGUCACUACUACCUAUGGAGCGAAAA
rnacentral:rRNA from 1 species